AUUGAACGCUGGCGGCAGGCCUAACACAUGCAAGUCGAGCGAGCGGCGGACGGGUGAGUAAUGUCUGGGAAACUGCCUGAUGGAGGGGGAUAACUACUGGAAACGGUAGCUAAUACCGCAUACCAUCAGAUGUGCCCAGGUGGGAUUAGCUAGUAGGUGGGGUAAUGGCUCACCUAGGCGACGAUCCCUAGCUGGUCUGAGAGGAUGACCAGCCACACUGUGACUGAGACACGGUCCAGACUCCGACGGUAGGCAGAAGUGGGGAGUAUUGGACAAUGGGCGAAAGCCUGAUGCAGCCAUGCCGCGUGUGUGAAGAAGGCUGUCGGGUUGUAAAGCACUGUCAGCGGGGAGGCGUUACCCGCAGAAGAAGCACCGGCUAACUCCGUGCCAGCAGCGGCGGUAAGUC
rnacentral:rRNA from 1 species